rnacentral:rRNA from 1 species
CUACGGGGCGCUGCAGUGAGGAAUAUUGGUCAAUGGGCGUAAGCCUGAACCAGCCAUCCCGCGUGCAGGAAGACGGCGCUAUGCGUUGUAAACUGCUUUUCCAGGGAAAGAAAACCCCCGACGUGUCGGGGCUUGCCGGUACCCUGGGAAUAAGCAUCGGCUAACUCCGUGCCAGCAGCCGCGGUAAUACGGAGGAUGCAAGCGUUAUCCGGAUUUAUUGGGUUUAAAGGGUGCGUAGGCGGAUUAAUAAGUCAGUGGUGAAAACCUUCAGCUUAACUGGAGACUUGCCAUUGAUACUGUUAGUCUUGAGUACGGUCAAGGUAGGCGGAAUGUGUAAUGUAGCGGUGAAAUGCUUAGAUAUUACACAGAACACCGAUUGCGAAGGCAGCUUACUGGGCCAUUACUGACGCUGAGGCACGAAAGCGUGGGGAGCGAACAGGAUUAGAUACCCCAGUAGUC